rnacentral:rRNA from 1 species
AAGAGUUCGUAGGUGGUUGAAAAGUUGGUGGUGAAAUCCCAGAGCUUAACUCUGGAACUGCCAUCAAAACUUUUCAGCUAGAGUAUGAUAGAGGAAAGCAGAAUUUCUAGUGUAGAGGUGAAAUUCGUAGAUAUUAGAAAGAAUACCAAUUGCGAAGGCAGCUUUCUGGAUCAUUACUGACACUGAGGAACGAAAGCAUGGGUAGCGAAGAGGAUUAGAUACCCUCGUAGUCCAUGCCGUAAACGAUGUGUGUUAGACGUUGGAAAUUUAUUUUCAGUGUCGCAGCGAAAGCGAUAAACACACCGCCUGGGGAGUACGACCGCAAGGUUAAAACUCAAAUGAAUUGACGGGGACCCGCACAAGUAGUGGAGCAUGUGGUUUAAUUCGAAGAUACGCGCAGAACCUUACCAACACUUGACAUGUUCGUCGCGACUUUAAGAGAUUAAAGUUUUCGGUUCGGCCGGACGAAACACAGGUGCUGCAUGGCUGUCGUCAGCUCGUGUCGUGAGAUGUUGGGUUAAGUCCCGCAACGAGCGCAACCCUCACUUUUAGUUGCCAUCAUUAAGUUGGGCACUCUGAAAGAACUGCCAGUGAUAAGCUGGAGGAAGGUGGGGAUGACGUCAAGUCCUCAUGGCCCUUACGUGUUGGGCUACACACGUGCUACAAUGGUAUCUACAACAGGAAGCAAAACCGCGAGGUUAAGCAAAUCCUUAAAAGAUACCUCAGUUCGGAUUGCACUCUGCAACUCGAGUGCAUGAAGCUGGAAUUACUAGUAAUCGUGGAUCAGCGUGCCACGGUGAAUGCGUUCCCGGGUCUUGUACACACCGCCCGUCACACCAUGGGAGUUGGUUCUACCUUAAGGCAAGGUUUCAAACCCUUGACCACGGUAUAGUCAGCGACUGGGGUGA